UCCCUGAGACCUCUGCUGCGA
rnacentral:miRNA from 2 species